rnacentral:SRP_RNA from 1 species
UGGGUCUUGCGCAACGGAUGUCUGUGAACCGUGUCAGGUUGGGAACAAAGCAGCACUAAGCAGAAUGUUUCGUGUGCCGCAAGGGUGCCUG